CCUACGGGUGGCAGCAGUGAGGAAUAUUGGUCAAUGGGCGUAAGCCUGAACCAGCCAAGUCGCGUGAGGGAUGAAGGUCCUAUGGAUCGUAAACCUCUUUUAUAGGGGAGUAAAGUGCGCCACGUGUCCCGUUCUGUAUGUACCCUAUGAAUAAGGAUCGGCUAACUCCGUGCCAGCCGCCGCGGUAAUACGGAGGAUCCGAGCGUUAUCCGGAUUUAUUGGGUUUAAAGGGUGCGUCGGCGGGCUGUCAAGUCAGCGGUGAAAGUCUGUGGCUCAACCAUAGAAGUGCCGUUGAAACUGGGAGGCUUGAGUGAGUGAGAGGCAGGCGGAAUGCGUGGUGUAGCGGUGAAAUGCAUAGAUAUCACGCAGAACCCCGAUUGCGAAGGCAGCAUGCCGGGGCAUGACUGACGCUGAUGCACGAAAGCGUGGGGAUCGAACAGGAUUAGAUACCCUGGUAGUC
rnacentral:rRNA from 1 species